UCACAGCCUUAUUAGCAUAAUCGGAACCUUUCUGGUUUUUAUAUUCACGAAAGAAUUAAAAAACCCGAAAAAGUCAAAACUUCGUAUAUCUCGGGAUUUUAACGAGACCAGUCUUAUACUCGUGAAAAUCGAGAGAGGAGUUUAAAUGGAAAAAGUAAGUAAAAGUUUUUGUUUCUUAUAUUGGCAAGCUUUUAAAUUAUAUAGAGUUGCAGAACAAUUGUUUAUUAAUGUGAAGUCGAAGUUUGGGGUGAUUAGCCUUAUCUCGUUAAAUUUUGUUCAGCAUGAAACAGUCUGAACAGCAAUCCUCGAUUUUGUCAACAAUCUAAAACGUGUUAAGGAGUAGUCAUUCGUCGAUUUACAUGCGGCUUCCAGAUGAUCUGAAGAUCAGGAAUAUAGAAAAUAUUGUCAAUUUGAUAUUGCUAAUGACCCAGUCAAGUCUGCUGAAGCCCAGAAGUUUCCAGACCAUGACAUUAAUGAAUAUUUCUUGAAUGGAAUGCAUGAGGAUUAAAAUGGAACCUUAUUCUGCCUUUUUACCAACUCACACCAUCUUUUCAAGAUUUAUGGAGCCAACCACAGAAGAAUUUGUUCUAUGCACAUCAUUCAUAACAUUCUUAUUUAUGUUGCAUAACUUUAAAUGUUACUGGAUGAAUUGUGUUCACAUAAUGAAUACCAGCAAACUUUUUAUCGAGUGCACUUAUUUUGUAUUUUUCCUACCCAUCCAUCUAACAUAUGUUUUUAUAUAACAUAUUCAUAUACAUGUAACAUUUUUGGAAACAGCUAUUUUUUUUAAAUUGGAAUUUAGCCUUACUAUUUUAUACAAGUUUUAUUUAAUAUACUCUUUUGUAUACAAACAGAACAAAAAUACUUAGUUACAAUGGAAAAUGGACAUAAUGUAUAUAAAAGUGUCUGAUAAAUGUAUAGGUCUUGUUCAUGAACAGAAGAAAUUGACAGAAAAAUAUUCAGUUUUAGCCAUGAAAUACAAAUAUUAAUAUUUUUUAAGAAUGUUAUUUAAUCUAAAUAAGAUAUAAAAGUUUUUUCCCCUUUAUUCCAAUGUUUGGAAACAAAUCCAAUAUAUAAUUAAAAUUGCUGUACAGUAUAUCCUAUUGAUUCCUAUAAUAUAUCACUUUAGUUUCUUGAACAGCAUGUUUAUUACUUUUUUUUCUUAAAAUGAUGUAUACAAGGUCAUUAAUUUAUUUUCAUUAUAUUCAACUAGAUACAAAUAGGCCUUCUGCAACUUUUUCAUUGUUUAAAUGGUAUCGAGUUUUAAUUACCUUUCAUAUGAAAAAUGACAUCUAAAUCUUAAAUUGCUGUACAUUAUAUCCUAUCCAUCUAAUGUAUCACUUUAUUUAUGUUGAACUUCGUGUCUAUUAGUACUAUGAUUUUUUUAGAAUGAUAUAUGCAAUUUCAUUAAUUUAUUUUUCAUUUUAAGAAAAUUCAUUUUAAAAAAGAUCUCUUACAACCUGUGUAAUUUUUUUUCAGUUUACAUAACACAGUGUAUUAAUUGAAUGUAGCUGUGUAGAUUUAUACAUGUACCUACAAGCAAUAUACAUUAAUAUUCACCAGGUACAUGUACCAGCCUACUAUAUUUGAUAAUUAAAUGUACUUUUUUCAUGCAUUUUACUCAUUG